UCAUCGACUUAGUCUGUCUAGCAAGCUUAAGCCGUUAGGUGUAGGCGCAGCGAAAGCGAGUCUUAAAUGGGCGACUUAGUUAGAUGGAUCAGACCCGAAACCAGAUGAUCUAGGCAUGAGCAGGCUGAAGGUUAGGUAACACUAACUGGAGGGCCGAACCCACACCUGUUGAAAAAGGUCGGGAUGACUUGUGCCUAGGGGUGAAAGGCCAAUCAAAUCUGGAGAUAGCUGGUUCUCCGCGAAAGCUAUUUAGGUAGCGCCUCGGACGAAUGCCCACGGGGGUAGAGCACUGCAUGGAUGAUGGGGGCCCACAGCCUUACUGAGUCUAAGCAAACUCCGAAUACCGUGGAGCAAUAUCCGGGAGACACACGGCGGGUGCUAACGUCCGUCGUGGAGAGGGAAACAACCCUGACCAACAGCUAAGGCCCCCAAUUCGUGGCUAAGUGGGAAAGCAUGUGAGACUUCCAAAACAACCAGGAGGUUGGCUUAGAAGCAGCCAUCCUUUAAAGAUAGCGUAACAGCUCACUGGUCUAGUUAAGAGGUCUUGCGGCGAAGAUGUAACGGGGCUCAAGCCACGAGCCGAAGCUUUGGGUGUGCAUUUAUGCACGCGGUAGCGGAGCGUUCCGUGAUAUAAGCUCUUGCCUCUUCUAUCCCUCGGGAUAGCGGAGGCGCGAGCUUUACUGUGAAGCCGGGCCGUAAGGCAUCCGGUGGAGUGAUCGGAAGCGAGAAUGUUGACAUGAGUAGCGACAAACAGGGUGAGAGACCCUGUCGCCGAAAGUCCAAGGGUUCCUGCUUAAAGCUAAUCUGAGCAGGGUAAGCCGGCCCCUAAGGCGAGGCCGAAAGGCGUAGUCGAUGGGAACCAGGUUAAUAUUCCUGGGCCAGGAGAUGGUGACGGAUCGCAGAGGUAGUUCUUCCUUAUCGGAUUGGAAGGGCUGCUGAGUGGUUCCUGGAAAUAGCCCUCCAUGAGACCGUACCCUAAACCGACACAGGUGGACUGGUAGAGAAUACCAAGGCGCUUGAGAGAACCACAUUUAAGGAACUCGGCAAAAUACCUCCGUAAGUUCGCGAGAAGGAGGCCCCGUUGGCAGGCAACUGUCGGCGGGGGGCACAAACCAGGGGGUGGCGACUGUUUACUAAAAACACAGGGCUCUGCGAAGCCGUAAGGCGACGUAUAGGGUCUGACGCCUGCCCGGUGCCGGAAGGUUAAAAGGAGAGGUGCAAGCCUUGAAUUGAAGCCCCGGUAAACGGCGGCCGUAACUAUAACGGUCCUAAGGUAGCGAAAUUCCUUGUCGGGUAAGUUCCGACCUGCACGAAUGGCGUAACGACUUCCC
rnacentral:rRNA from 1 species